rnacentral:rRNA from 1 species
GACGAACGCUGGCGGCGUGCUUAACACAUGCAAGUCGAACGGUAAGGCCCUUCGGGGUACACGAGUGGCGAACGGGUGAGUAACACGUGGGUGAUCUGCCCUGCACUUCGGGAUAAGCCUGGGAAACUGGGUCUAAUACCGGAUAGGACUCCGGACUGCAUGGUCUGGGGUGGAAAGCUUUUGCGGUGUGGGAUGAGCCCGCGGCCUAUCAGCUUGUUGGUGGGGUGAUGGCCUACCAAGGCGACGACGGGUAGCCGGCCUGAGAGGGUGACCGGCCACACUGGGACUGAGAUACGGCCCAGACUCCUACGGGAGGCAGCAGUGGGGAAUAUUGCACAAUGGGCGCAAGCCUGAUGCAGCGACGCCGCGUGAGGGAUGACGGCCUUCGGGUUGUAAACCUCUUUCAGCAUCGACGAAGCGAGAGUGACGGUAGGUGCAGAAGAAGGACCGGCCAACUACGUGCCAGCAGCCGCGGUAA